CCUUCCUGCUACAGUCACGCAUGAUCUGCAUGCUGCGCCGCGCUGCUCUGAGCUUUGAUACCAAGCGAUUUACCCAUUUGUAAUGAAGCAGUUGGUACGUGUUCAUAGUAAAUAGCCGAAGAUGGUGGAAUUAUCGUCAACAUAAUAUGAAUUGGUAGAAGUAUAGAAAAAUUUUCCACUCGUUAUGCGUGAAGAUGUCGUCGAUCCAGGCGCCAGAAAUGAGAAGAAAUUUGCCGAUUUUCUCCCCUGGAUGCAAAAGGCAGCACCUACAGGGACGUUUUCAUGGAAAAGGGAAUCGAUGAGAGUUCACCACCU